AUCCAGCUAAUGCGUUCCAAAUAGGACGAAACAGGUGUCCUGGAU
rnacentral:hammerhead_ribozyme from 1 species